UGAAAGGUAUGACGAAUAAAGCAAGUUGGCAUAAAAUAAGUACUUACCCCAGCUCACCUACACAGUACCGAAAAGUACCUUACACACGACGAAUAUAAUAAAUUAACAAAGAGUACACGAAUACGUGACGAAAUUCGUUAUAUUUGAGUUUAAUCACACAGAAAUACACGUCAAUAAUCGAUAAUUAUUCAUAAAAUGCACCACGAACUCGUGCGAAAUAGGGAAAAUAUUGUACAAAUUUGGAGGGAUCACUUAAAUACACUAAUUAAUUCUACGAAAUAACUUUUAACUUGGACCCGGAGGACACAAAGACUAAAAGGCACAUUAACUUGGCGAUUCGCGGACAACCGUUGAUGAACUGCGAAUUGGUCCAGUCGCAAAAGAUGCUGCUAAACCUCUUUCGCGACUGUACCAAUCAGUGUUACCCGAAAUAGAAGGGUUAAAUACUCUAAUAUUACGAGUUUCCGGACAUAGGCAUAAGUCUCAGUCUAACAUAUGCCCCAGCGUGAGUUUACUUAGCGGUCGGUGAACCAGCUGAGCAAAUCACGGUAGAACAAAGGCUCGACUAUGCCUUACCGGUAACUCGUCCAUAGUGGACAGCCAAUUGUCCGCUACGGACCUAUCAGCUGCCCCCCAUGGUUUCUCGGGUGAGAACAAAAGGAGCAGAGUAAACUCACUAAAAUUUCAAUCCCACGAGCGUGGUAGGUAUCCAGGUAGUCGAAACUGCGAACCACUGGAUCACUGAACGACGGACGAGGUUCAAUAAACCCAGUAUGAAUGUAGUUCAAAAACCUUUCUAUCUACCAGCUAAAACAAAUCCAAACAUAUGACGAAUACUGAACUGGUACCUUUUUUGAUUUCAGCAAAUACCUCCCAACGGAUCGAAACAUGACCAAAACGCAAGUUCUUAAAGAUAUCUACGAUACGUAGUCAAGAUGAAGAAUUGCCAAGCUAAAUCGUGCACGAAAGAUACGUAUACAGCUGAUAACUUGAGAAGAAUAUUUGCAUCGAGUUCGUGGUUUAAUUAUAUGUCACUAUAGUUAAGUAAUAUUACUUAAAGCUGGUUGUGAACUGUUAAAAUUCAAUAAAUAUUAGUCUAUCUUGAA